UACGUAGGGGGCGAGCGUUGUCCGGAAUUAUUGGGCGUAAAGAGCGUGUAGGCGGUUCGGUAAGUCUGCCGUGAAAACCUGGGGCUCAACCCCGGGCGUGCGGUGGAUACUGCCGGGCUAGAGGGUGGUAGAGGCGAGUGGAAUUCCCGGUGUAGCGGUGAAAUGCGCAGAUAUCGGGAGGAACACCUGUGGCGAAAGCGGCGCACUGGACCACAACUGACGCUGAGGCGCGAAAGCUAGGGGGAGCAAACAGG
rnacentral:rRNA from 1 species